GAUGAACGCUGGCUACAGGCUUAACACAUGCAAGUCGAGGGGAAACGGCAUUGAGUGCUUGCACUGAAUGGACGUCGACCGGCGCACGGGUGAGUAACGCGUAUCCAACCUUCCCGUUACUGCGGGAUAACCUGCCGAAAGGCAGACUAAUACCGCAUGUUCUUCGAUGACGGCAUCAGAUUCGAAGCAAAGAUCCGUCGGUAACGGAGGGGGAUGCGUCUGAUUAGCUAGUUGGCGGGGCGACGGCCCACCAAGGCGACGAUCAGUAGGGGUUCUGAGAGGAAGGUCCCCCACAUUGGAACUGAGACACGGUCCAAACUCCUACGGGAGGCAGCAGUGAGGAAUAUUGGUCAAUGGGCGGAAGCCUGAACCAGCCAAGUAGCGUGCAGGAUGACGGCCCUACGGGUUGUAAACUGCUUUUAUGCGGGGAUAAAGUGAGGGACGCGUCCCUUUUUGCAGGUACCGCAUGAAUAAGGACCGGCUAAUUCCGCG
rnacentral:rRNA from 1 species